rnacentral:lncRNA from 1 species
UGAAUGAAACAAGACAUCAAGCAUAAAUUCUAUAUGAUUCUAUUUACAUGGAAUUUAAGAACAGGCAAAACUAAUAGGUUAGCUUUCAGGGGCAAGUAUUGACUGGGAAGGGCACAUGGAGCCUUCUGGUAUACUGCAAAUAUUUUCCAUCUCAAUCUGGGCAGUAGUUAAAUGGUUAUAUGUCUAUGUAAAAAUUCAUCAAGCUGUAUACAUAAGAGUCUUAAGAUUUGUGCACUUUAUUAUUUGUAGACUAUAUCUACUAGAAGAGAAAAAAAAAAGUCUUGAGAAGAGACAUAAGCAUUUUGGGGUCAGCCUCACCUUUCCAUCUGCCUUUUCCAACAAAGGGAUGGAGACGGAGGCCAAAUGAGCACCAUCCAAGUCAGCUCCUUCUGAAACAGAGACAAAAAUAACUACAUCUCAAGUAUAAGAACAUACUUUCCCCUUUUUUUUUUUGGGAAAGGCACAGGCUUUUUUCACAUUACCAGCCAGAGGGAAUCUUUCUCAAACUUUCCAUAGAGAUUCUCCCUUGAGCAGGCACCAAACAUGGACAUUUUCUACCAGAGAAAAACAUGCUGGGGAGUUAUAAGCCUCUGGAACGAAAGCGUUGGGAAGGAAAUGAUGUAGAUCCCCCUCCCUCACCUGGGCUCCUCCCAGUCCUCCUGGAGCCAUGUUCCAGUGGCUAUAUGUUGUCAUCAGGAGAGUGCUAAUCAGAGGGACUGCAAGGAUGGAAGACAAGGGCAGGAGAGUGGACUGGGUCAGACAGUUGCCAGGGUCCAGUCCACACUGAGCACUGGGCCUUUCCCAUCUGGUGGGAAGAAAGGUUUUGAUUCUUCAUCCCUCAUACAAAUGGAAGAAAGUCACAGACAGCUUAAAAAAAAAAAAGGUGUUUAAAGCAAUGUAUACAUUGUGGACAGUGAACGAAGCAUCUCAAUUCUGUGUGGGUCUGUCCAUAUAAAGAUGAAGGAGCCUCAUUUUCCAGCUGCACUGCCUCCCUCCUCUCUCCUAGCUCCUCUUUCCUCCUGUCAUCUCUUUGUCCAGCUUCUUCAUUUUCCUUCUCAUCAUCUGAAAGCCUUGAGAACAAAUUUUUAGGAAGUACCUGUGUAGGGCAGGGUACUUGACAACUUUACCAGGAAGGUGUUAUUUUUCAGGUGAGGACACCAGCUUUAGGGGAGUGAAGUGAUUAGCUUGAGGUCAUGCACCUAAGAGAUGUCAGAGCCAGGGUUUGCAUCUAGGCUGGUGAGACUCUGUGUGGGCUCUGUCAUGGGGUUCAGUUGCCUUAAGUCUCCUUUUCUUGAGAAAGACAUUGCUGGAUUGUUAUAUCCUAUCCUGUCUCUCAAGAUAAGCAACAUUUUAGUAAAAGAUAUUAUUUUAUUUUAUUUGCUUUUUAGGGCCGUACCCAAGGCAUAUGGAAGUUCCCGGGCUAGGGGUCAAAUCGGAGCUACAGCUGCUGGCCUAUGCCACAGCCACAGCAACUGUGGGAUCCAAGGCGCAUCUGCAACCUACGCCACAGCUCAUGGCAAUGCCGGAUCCCUGACCCACUGAGUGAGGCCAGGGAUCAAACUUGCACCUCAUGGAUUCUAUUUGGAUUCGUUUCCACUACGCCACAAAGGGAACACCCUGAAAUACUUUUAAAAAUGAAAAUUAAUACAAAAUCUGUGAUGAAAAAUGUAAAUCUUUUGAAUAAAGACAGGAUCAGUGUUAGCAGUUUUUCAUUUUGCUUGGGCUCUAAUGUGACACCAUGUUGACUUAUUCCUCGGGUCCUUAUUUGGGCCCAUUGCUCUCCUUUGCCCAUGUUCUUGUCCCUUGCUCCUUCCGAUGGAUAAUAUUGUAUGCCCCCACCUUUCAUCUCAGUGUGAGUAACUCCAAAUUCUACUUUCUCCCAGGGCUCAAGGAGGAGAAGCCUUUUGUUUCUUCAAGCUUCUGUUCACUUCAGGAGUUUGGGGUACAUGUCUUGUGUUUCCACUGACCUUUUGGAAAGCUCCGCCUGAACUCUGGUGACCUAAAGUCAACUUUUCCUCAACUAAGCUCACCCUUCCUCCCAUCCUGUCCUCAGGUCUGCUCCUGUCAAUGUCAGCAGCAGCCUUCUAGUCACCCGGCUCUCCCCUCAUUCCUAUUUCCAACAGCCAAUCUGCUGCCCACCCUUGUUUAUUAUCAAGUACCUCCUACAACUGCCCUUUCUUAUCCAAAAGCCCAGACAGACUAUGCCUGAACUGGCACUUGCUUGGGGUGGGAAGGCACAGAAGCAAGAACUUAAGCAUAAUCAUUUGUCUGAGGACCAGAGCUGUAGUGAGGGGCGUAGAAAGGGAUGGGCUUACUUAGAUCUGUGCAGACAGGGCAAGCAGAGGUUGGAGAAAGAACUAAGCACCACGUUGUUGAAAUAUCUUCUCAAUCUUUGAUUCCAUAAGGGAACAUAUAGGAUGUUCCAUGCUAUCUUCACUUGCUACAUGUUAGGGAGACAAAGAUUGAAAAUCAUUUCAGUUCUUGAGAAGCUCACAAUCUGGUGGGAAAGACAGACCCACAAAUAAACCCCACAGGAGCAUGCAGUUUGGGGUAACUGAGGAGGAAGUCACCAACUGAAGAUGAAAAGAUGGGCUAGGAAAGUUGCCCAGAGGAAAAGAUACUGAGCUGAACUUCAGUGUUGAAUGAAGGAGAUGAUUGAUGUCACUGGUGAUGAUGUUAGUCAUUAUGAAGAAGAUAGUGAAAAUCACCAAGGUGAUAAUUAUGCACAGGGAGACUCCAUCAAAAAGAUGGAGGUGAUAGGGCUGAGGAACGCAAACCACCUUGGUACCUCUGAUGUAAUGGAUUGGGCAGUGAUCCCAAACCAGUCCAGGAGGCCACACUGUGACUUCAGGUGUCUUUUCAUAGUCAUGGCUUAUGAUUCAAGAUAUAGUGUACCAGGAGUUCCCCUUGUGGCUCAGCAGUAAUGAACCCGACUAGUAUCCAUGAGGACAUGGGUUCAAUCCCUGGCCCUGCUCAGUGUGUUAAGGAUCCAGCAUUGCUGUGAGCUGUGGUGUAGGGUCGAAGAUUCGGCUGGGAUCUGUUGUUGCUGUGGCUGUGGCAGGCACAUCUGCUCUGUGUCCAGAGAGCUUGUGGAAGAUUAAAAAAGGAGCUGUACUUCCUAUGCCCUUCCAGUUCUAGAAUCACUGACCUUGGUAACUGGUAACUCUAGAGGGGCUUUCUCUCUCCCAAUUGGUCUGUCACAUGCUUGAAGUCUCCCGAUUAACACAUCAUUUCCUUAGCUUGUCUUGCAUCUCCAGAUGCAAGAGUUGGAAGGAUAUAUUAAGGCAUUAUUACUCCCAAACACCCCAGCAUAAGAGUUUAACAGCUUAUUGUCUCCUGGGUCACUGUAUUUUAAUACAAUGAAGGAAAACCAGCUUAAGAGUCUGGACCAUUUCUCAAUGAACAGGAUUGGGUGAGGAUGUGUUACAGAAGGGUUGGUAGCUUUGGGACCCCCAAAGCUUGAGGAUGAAGUCUGCAGGUGAUGGGAUCUGAGGAAGCCACUCUAGGACUCCCUGUUGCUAAUUAGAGUUGACCCUGGGAUAUAACUUCCUGAAGUAUUGAUCCAAAAUUACCCUCCUAGAACUUUGGUUGUUAUUACACCAUUGCCUGGGCCUCUUGCCUUCCACUACCACCUCCUCACCCGCUACCAGUUCCUCCCUGGGUACCUUGCUAAUAAGCUGUGUCCACAAGGGUUCUUAUCUCAGGAAAGUCUCAUCAUAAGGCAAUGGCUCUAACUCAUUCUCCUUUUUCUGGCUUCCUUCAGUCCAAAUCAUUUGGGUACCUGGCCCAUACUGUUUGGGCCAUGUCUAUGAGCCUUGCCUUCCUGGUUUUAGUGUAAGUUCUCUUGUCUCCCCUGGUUUGCCUGGCAGGCACUGGGACAUCCCUAGCACCACCCUUUGUCAGAGGUGGAAGGUCCAGGGGGUCUUUGAGACCAAAAGAGGAAACAGAGGCCCAGAAAAGCUAAAGGGCUUGUUGACUAAAUGAUACUUUCUCUUCUUCUCCCAACUGAGAUGUACAGGGAGACAUUUUGUCCCCGUGAUGAUCUGUUCUUGGUUUAUUGAGAUGAUGAUGAUGAUGAUGAUGGCUCUUGCUAUGUGGUUUCUUGAGGAGUCCCAGGCCUUUGGCGUGUGUAAUUAGGAAACUUCCCGAAGCCUUUCUAAGAGAGAGACCCUAUGUCCUGCAUUUCAGGCAAACUGCCUUCGGCUUAGAGAUAUAGAGUAGUGGGGAAGUCGAAGGGUAGCAAAGUGAAAGGAGAAUCACAGAAGGGUUUGGAGUGGGGUUCAGUGGACACUUGAGCACUUUAUCCCAGCCUUGGGUUGAGGAGGGGGCAGAGAAUGCCUUAAUGAUCAACUAAAGCCUUAGUUGAACGUUGAAGGCAAACAGGAGUUUCCAAGGUAGGGAGAUAGGCAAUUGCCUUCACAUUCAGUGUACAACCAACAUCUGAUAUAAAGAUGAUACUUUUUUAUUUGGAAAGACAUUUUUUUCAUAGAGGUAUAGGAACAGAGUUUGGAGUCAAAUGGGAUUUAAAUCUUGGUUCCAUCACUUUCUUUGCGACUCUGAGCAAGUCCAUUAUACUUUCCAAACCUCAAUACCGUCAUCUGUAAGUUAUGACAAUGAGUCCCACUUCACUGGAUGAUCAUCAAACUCAAAUGAGGCAAAUUAAUUCUUGAUGUGUAUGUGCAGAACCCUUGAGAAAUGGUUGUUGUGGUGUUCACAUAGAGAACUUUUAACUUUCAUCAUUACCAUAUGAAUAUUGAUUAUUCUCUCACUGUGUUCAAGUGUUGAAUGAACCUCAUCUUGUCUUGUGCAUCCUCAUUUAAGAGAACAGGAGAUAACACUGUCCAGAACUAGAAACUCUGAGAGGGUAAGGGACCUGCCCAUUCCUAUCUUAGGUUGAGUUCUCCAAGAAGCAGGCAUUCAGGUGAAGAUAGGAGUGUAAGCACUUUACUUGAGUGGUGAUCCCAGCAAACACUGGCUGGAGAGCAGGAAGUAAGGCAGGCAAGGGAAGUCAGUCCGUGGAGGAUGUGUGUUCAAUCCAUUUACCACCGUAGGCAGCUGGAGCUCUCUCCCACCAGGAGUGCAGUGUAAAGUAAACAUCUCAGGAUAGAAAGCCCAGAAUUAAACCCACACACCUACAGUCAACUAAUUUAUGACAAAGGAGGCAAGAAUAUACAAAGGAGAAAAGACAGCUCCUUCAAUAAGUGGUUAUGGGAAAAGUGGACAGCCACAUGUAAAAGAAUGAAAUUAAACACCUCAUAACACCAUGCACAAAAAUAAACUCAAAAUGGAAUAAGGACCUAAAUAUAAGACCAAAUACUAUAAAACUCUUAGAGGAAAACAUAGGCCAAACAAUCUCCGACAUAAACCACAGCAAUAUCUUCUCAGAUCCACUUCCUAGAGUAAUGACAAUAAAAGCAAAAAUAAACAAAUGGACUUAAUUAAACUUAAAAGUUUCUGCAUAGCAAAGGAAACCCUAAUCAUAACGAAAAGACAACCCACAGAAUGGGAGAAAAUAUUUGCAAAUGAAGCAACUGACAAGGGACUAAUCUCCAAAAUUUAUAAACACAUCCUGCAGCACAAUACCAAAAAACAAACAAACAAACAAACAACCCCAUCAAAAAAGUGGGCAAAAGACAAUUCUCUAAGGAAAACAUACAGAUGG